AGGAAAAGAAACUAACAAGGAUUCCCCUAGUAACUGCGAGUGAAGCGGGAAAAGCUCAAAUUUAAAAUCUGGCGGUCUUUGGCCGUCCGAGUUGUAAUCUAGAGAAGUAAUGCCCGUGCUGGACCGUGUAUAAGUCUCCUGGGAUGGGGCGUCAUAGAGGGUGAGAAUCCCGUCUUUGACACGGACUACCAGUGCAUUGUGGUAUGCUCUCAAAGAGUCGAGUUGUUUGGGAAUGCAGCUCAAAAUGGGUGGUAAAUUCCAUCUAAAGCUAAAUAUUGGCGAGAGACCGAUAGCGAACAAGUACCGUGAGGGAAAGAUGAAAAGAACUUUGGAAAGAGAGUUAAACAGUACGUGAAAUUGCUGAAAGGGAAACGCUUGAAAUCAGUCGCGUUGGCCAGGGAUCAGCCUUGCUUUUGCAUGGUGUACUUUCUGGUUGACNNGGGUCAGCAUCAAUUUUGACCGCUGGAAAAGGGCCUGGGGAAUGUGGCAGCUUCGGCUGUGUUAUAGCCCCUGGUCGCAUACAGUGGUUGGGAUUGAGGAACUCAGCACGCCGCAAGGCCGGGUUUCGANCACGUUCGUGCUUAGGAUGCUGGCAUAAUGGCUUUAAGCGACCCGUCUUGAAACACGGACCAAGGAGUCUAACAUGCCUGCGAGUAUUUGGGUGGAAAACCCGAGUGCGCAAUGAAAGUGAAAGUUGAGAUCCCUGUCGUGGGGAGCAUCGAC
rnacentral:rRNA from 1 species